AGAGUUUGAUCAUGGCUCAGGACGAACGCUGGCGGCGUGCCUAACACAUGCAAGUCGAGCGGUCCGGGAGAAGUAAGCUUGCUUGCUUUUCCCGGAUAGCGGCGAACGGGUGAGUAACGCGUGGGCAACCUGCCCGGAAGACCGGGAUAACCCCGGGAAACUGGGGCUAAUACCGGAUACGCUCUCCAGGGGGCAUCCCCCGGGGAGGAAAGGGGAAACCCACUUUCGGAGGGGCCCGCGUCCCAUUAGCUAGUUGGUGAGGUAACGGCUCACCAAGGCGACGAUGGGUAGCCGGCCUGAGAGGGUGGUCGGCCACACUGGGACUGAGACACGGCCCAGACUCCUACGGGAGGCAGCAGUGGGGAAUCUUGCGCAAUGGGGGAAACCCUGACGCAGCGACGCCGCGUGGGUGACGAAGGCCUUCGGGUUGUAAAGCCCUGUCGUAGGGGAAGAAGUUCUGACGGUACCCUACAAGAAAGCCCCGGCUAACUACGUGCCAGCCGCCGCGGUAAUAC
rnacentral:rRNA from 1 species